GCGGCAAUAGCUCAGUGAGUAAAGCGUCAGGUGAGAAGAUGGCGAUCCGAGAACUAUUAUCCGCGCGGGUUCGAAUCCCGCUUAUGGCA